rfam:Danio rerio chromosome 8, GRCz11 reference primary assembly.
UUUCACAGCCAUAUCACCCUGCAGCCCAAGACCGGUUACUCACUGAAGCUAAGCAGGGCUGAGCCUGGUUAGUACCUGGAUGGGACACCACUAGGGAACACUAGGUUGCUGUUGGAA